UUUAAAUUGGGAAAACAACGAGACAUGCUAGAAGAGUAGUUCUACAGAAUAGCGUUUAGUCUAAGAGGUCCAGUAUUUGGUGUCACAGGGUGGUCACAGCCCUUCAAACUGUAAGGAAGGAUGAUGAAAAAGGUGUGGCACUAAUCAGUUAUGGGCCAAAUACAGUCUGAAGGGGCAAAAGAGAAAAGAGGCAUUCACAGGUCACCCUUUGUGCAGAAUAAUCAUGAAAAGUUGUGCAAGAGUGUUCCCAAAAUCCAAGGUUGCCGAUAUGGAGGAGGUCUUAAUUCCUAAAACAGGCCCCACACAAGCCAUGAGGACCAAAAUAUAAGAAACCUGUAAGAAAAGGACUGAUGAUAUCGCAAGAAGAAUUGGAGUCUGAACAAAUAAAUCUGUUUAAAAGAACUUG